rnacentral:rRNA from 1 species
GACGAGGGGGCGAGCGUUAUUCGGAAUUAUUGGGCGUAAAGAGCUCGUAGGCGGUCUGUCACGUCGGCUGUGAAAUCCCGAGGCUCAACCUCGGGUCUGCAGUCGAUACGGGCAAACUAGAGUAUUGCAGGGGAGACUGGAAUUCCUGGUGUAGCGGUGAAAUGCGCAGAUAUCAGGAGGAACACCGGUGGCGAAGGCGGGUCUCUGGGCAAUAACUGACGCUGAGGAGCGAAAGCGUGGGGAGCGAACAGG